rnacentral:rRNA from 1 species
CCUACGGGCGGCAGCAGUAGGGAAUCUUCCGCAAUGGGCGCAAGCCUGAUGGAGCAACACCGCGUGAGUGAUGAAGGUUUUCGGCUCGUAAAGCUCUGUUGGUGGGGAAGAACGUUCGUGAGAGUAACUGGUCACGCAUUGACGGUAUCCGACCAGAAAGUCACGGCUAACUACGUGCCAGCAGCCGCGGUAAUACGUAGGGUGCAAGCGUUAUCCGGAUUUAUUGGGCGUAAAGCGAGCGCAGGCGGUUGCUUAGGUCUGCUGUGAAAGCCUUGGGCUUAACCGAAGAAGUGCAUCGGAAACCGGGAGACUUGAGUGCAGAAGAGGACAGUGGAAUUCCAGGUGUAGCGGUGGAAUCCGUAGAUAUAUGGAAGAACACCAGUGGCGAAGGCGACUGUCUGGUCUGCAACUGACGCUGAGGCUCGAAAGCAUGGGUAGUGAACAGGAUUAGAUACCCGGGUAGUC